rnacentral:rRNA from 1 species
ACGCUUCUUUUUCCACCGGAGCUUGCUCCACCGGAAAAAGAAGAGUGGCGAACGGGUGAGUAACACGUGGGUAACCUGCCCAUCAGAAGGGGAUAACACUUGGAAACAGGUGCUAAUACCGUAUAACAAUCGAAAUCGCAUGGUUUUGAUUUGAAAGGCGCUUUCGGGUGUCGCUGAUGGAUGGACCCGCGGUGCAUUAGCUAGUUGGUGAGGUAACGGCUCACCAAGGCCACGAUGCAUAGCCGACCUGAGAGGGUGAUCGGCCACAUUGGGACUGAGACACGGCCCAAACUCCUACGGGAGGCAGCAGUAGGGAAUCUUCGGCAAUGGACGAAAGUCUGACCGAGCAACGCCGCGUGAGUGAAGAAGGUUUUCGGAUCGUAAAACUCUGUUGUUAGAGAAGAACAAGGAUGAGAGUAACUGUUCAUCCCUUGACGGUAUCUAACCAGAAAGCCACGGCUAACUACGUGCCAGCAGCCGCGGUAAUACGUAGGUGGCAAGCGUUGUCCGGAUUUAUUGGGCGUAAAGCGAGCGCAGGCGGUUUCUUAAGUCUGAUGUGAAAGCCCCCGGCUCAACCGGGGAGGGUCAUUGGAAACUGGGAGACUUGAGUGCAGAAGAGGAGAGUGGAAUUCCAUGUGUAGCGGUGAAAUGCGUAGAUAUAUGGAGGAACACCAGUGGCGAAGGCGGCUCUCUGGUCUGUAACUGACGCUGAGGCUCGAAAGCGUGGGGAGCAAACAGGAUUAGAUACCCUGGUAGUCCACGCCGUAAACGAUGAGUGCUAAGUGUUGGAGGGUUUCCGCCCUUCAGUGCUGCAGCUAACGCAUUAAGCACUCCGCCUGGGGAGUACGACCGCAAGGUUGAAACUCAAAGGAAUUGACGGGGGCCCGCACAAGCGGUGGAGCAUGUGGUUUAAUUCGAAGCAACGCGAAGAACCUUACCAGGUCUUGACAUCCUUUGACCACUCUAGAGAUAGAGCUUCCCCUUCGGGGGCAAAGUGACAGGUGGUGCAUGGUUGUCGUCAGCUCGUGUCGUGAGAUGUUGGGUUAAGUCCCGCAACGAGCGCAACCCUUAUUGUUAGUUGCCAUCAUUCAGUUGGGCACUCUAGCAAGACUGCCGGUGACAAACCGGAGGAAGGUGGGGAUGACGUCAAAUCAUCAUGCCCCUUAUGAC